rnacentral:rRNA from 1 species
AUUGAACGCUGGCGGCAUGCCUUACACAUGCAAGUCGAACGGCAGCGCGGACUUCGGUCUGGCGGCGAGUGGCGAACGGGUGAGUAAUACAUCGGAACGUACCCUGUUGUGGGGGAUAACUAGUCGAAAGAUUAGCUAAUACCGCAUACGACCUGAGGGUGAACGUGGGGGACCCCAAGGCCUCCAGCAGCAGGAGCGGCCGGUGUCUAGUUAGCGAGUUGGUGGGGUAAAGGCGCCCCAAGGCGACGAUCAGUAGCUGGUCUGAGAGGACGAUCAGCCACACUGGGACUGAGACACGGCCCAGACUCCUACGGGAGGCAGCAGUGGGGAAUUUUGGACAAUGGGGGCAACCCUGAGCCAGCAAUGCCGCGUGUGUGAAGAAGGCCUUCGGGUUGUAAAGCACUUUUGUCCGGAAAGAAAUCGCGCUGGUUAAUACCUGGCGUGGUUGACGGUACCGGAAGAAUAAGCACCGGCUAACUACGUGCCAGCAGCCGCCGUAA